rnacentral:lncRNA from 1 species
GAGGAGGAGGAGGAAGAGGCACUGGAGAAGCUUGCUGAAUUCUUCCAGCCCCACAACUUGCCCAAGGGCACCAACAUCAUCUAUCACUGGGCCACCCCCUCCAGUGUCAAGGUACUGGCAGUUUCUGCAUGAAUGCCUUCAGAACAUCAUACCAUGUCGACUUUAGUUCGUGUAAACCUAACCCACCAACUCAAAUCUAGUGAACAGACGUUUUUGUUUUUGUUUUGUUUGUUUUUUUUUUAAAUAAUAAUAAUAAUAAUAAUAAUUUAAGUGGACAUUCUUAAAGAACUUGAACGCAUCUAUACAGAAAACUCUAUUAUGAAAUACAUGGGUUGAGGCUGACUACUUACAUUAUGCAGGUUUCCCUAUCUGAGGAAGGUAAAAUGCCUGAAGAUGUGGCAUACACCAUCGACGAUGCGCAUGUAGCGGAAGCAUUGUUGGACCUGUACUUGGGCGAGAACACUAUCACGCCCUCCACUCUUG